GUCGUCCUCGUCCAUGGCGUUUCCGCAAGAGGCCUUAGGGUAAGAAAACAUUUCCUCGUGUAAUCCCUGCUGGUAUAAGGACGCCGCCGAGCCAGGCAGCAACACUCGUGUGGCGGCGACCAGAGGCUUCACACACACACUCCUGACUGCUGGCACCUGUACUCUCUUCAUCACCAGAGAUGCGGCGAAUGGGCGUGCUGGUGGCGGUGGCGGUGCUGGUGCUGGUGGCCACGUGCUCCGUGGAAGCAGGGGGGUGCCCUGGAGGACCCCCGGGGGACUGUCAUCUCGUCCGCUGCAGUUAUCCACAAUGUGAAAAUGGCUACGAGGUAGUUACAGACAGCUGCCACUGUUGUCCAUACUGCGCCCCGGCCCUUCCUGGCAACUCCGGGCGAUAGCUUGAGGGCAGAAACAACAUAACAAAACAAUGAAAGCCCGCUAAUGGCUGCUCCUGGGAAAGCAAACAGGGGUAGCCAGAAGAGAAGAGCAAUGGCUUCAUAAUCUGUAAGGGAACUGCACUGCUACCGUCCGUCUUGAAGGAAAAAUUCGAAUAUGCCAAUUCCUUUAAGAAAAAAAAUGUCGUUAGCUUGUUGUUAGAGUUGUCAGCUCAAUAAAAUUUCCCAGCAUCAA